AGUUUGAUCCUGGCUCAGGAUGAACGCUAGCUACAGGCUUAACACAUGCAAGUCGAGGGGCAGCAUGAACUUAGCUUGCUAAGUUUGAUGGCGACCGGCGCACGGGUGAGUAACACGUAUCCAACCUGCCGAUGACUCGGGGAUAGCCUUUCGAAAGAAAGAUUAAUACCCGAUGGCAUAGUUCUUCCGCAUGGUAGAACUAUUAAAGGAUUUCGGUCAUCGAUGGGGAUGCGUUCCAUUAGGUUGUUGGCGGGGUAACGGCCCACCAAGCCUUCGAUGGAUAGGGGUUCUGAGAGGAAGGUCCCCCACAUUGGAACUGAGACACGGUCCAAACUCCUACGGGAGGCAGCAGUGAGGAAUAUUGGUCAAUGGACGAGAGUCUGAACCAGCCAAGUAGCGUGAAGGAUGACUGCCCUAUGGGUUGUAAACUUCUUUUAUACGGGAAUAAAGUGAGGCACGUGUGCCUUUUUGUAUGUACCGUAUGAAUAAGGAUCGGCUAACUCCGUGCCAGCAGCCGCGGUAAUACGGAGGAUCCGAGCGUUAUCCGGAUUUAUUGGGUUUAAAGGGAGCGUAGGCGGACGCUUAAGUCAGUUGUGAAAGUUUGCGGCUCAACCGUAAAAUUGCAGUUGAUACUGGGUGUCUUGAGUACAGUAGAGGCAGGCGGAAUUCGUGGUGUAGCGGUGAAAUGCUUAGAUAUCACGAAGAACUCCGAUUGCGAAGGCAGCUUGCUGGACUGUAACUGACGCUGAUGCUCGAAAGUGUGGGUAUCAAACAGGAUUAGAUACCCUGGUAGUCCACACAGUAAACGAUGAAUACUCGCUGUUUGCGAUAUACAGUAAGCGGCCAAGCGGAAGCGUUAAGUAUUCCACCUGGGGAGUACGCCGGCAACGGUGAAACUCAAAGGAAUUGACGGGGGCCCGCACAAGCGGAGGAACAUGUGGUUUAAUUCGAUGGUACGCGAGGAACCUUACCCGGGCUUGAAUUGCAACUGAAUGAUGUGGAGACAUAUCAGCCGCAAGGCAGUUGUGAAGGUGCUGCAUGGUUGUCGUCAGCUCGUGCCGUGAGGUGUCGGCUUAAGUGCCAUAACGAGCGCAACCCUUAUCGAUAGUUACCAUCAGGUUAUGCUGGGGACUCUGUCGAGACUGCCGUCGUAAGAUGUGAGGAAGGUGG
rnacentral:rRNA from 1 species